GAGAGAAGCUUGCUUCUCUUGAGAGCGGCGGACGGGUGAGUAAUGCCUAGGAAUCUGCCUGGUAGUGGGGGAUAACGUUCGGAAACGGACGCUAAUACCGCAUACGUCCUACGGGAGAAAGCAGGGGACCUUCGGGCCUUGCGCUAUCAGAUGAGCCUAGGUCGGAUUAGCUAGUUGGUGAGGUAAUGGCUCACCAAGGCGACGAUCCGUAACUGGUCUGAGAGGAUGAUCAGUCACACUGGAACUGAGACACGGUCCAGACUCCUACGGGAGGCAGCAGUGGGGAAUAUUGGACAAUGGGCGAAAGCCUGAUCCAGCCAUGCCGCGUGUGUGAAGAAGGUCUUCGGAUUGUAAAGCACUUUAAGUUGGGAGGAAGGGUUGUAGAUUAAUACUCUGCAAUUUUGACGUUACCGACAGAAUAAGCACCGGCUAACUCUGUGCCAGCAUCCGCGGAAAUACAGAGGGUGCAAGCGUUAAUCGGAAUUACUGGGCGUAAAGCGCGCGUAAGUGGUUCGUUAAGUUGCCAUGUGAAAG
rnacentral:rRNA from 1 species